UCCGUAGGCGGGUAAUUAAGUCAGAGGUGAAAUCCACAGCUUAACUGUGGAACUGCCUUAGAUACUGGUUAUCUUGAGUUUUAGUGAAGUAGAUAGAAUGUGUAGUGUAGCGGUGAAAUGCAUAGAUAUUACACAGAAUACCGAUUGCGAAGGCAGUCUACUAACUAACAACUGACGCUAAUGGACGAAAGCGUGGGGAGCGAACAGGAUUAGAUACCCUGGUAGUCC
rnacentral:rRNA from 1 species